rnacentral:rRNA from 1 species
UACGUAGGGUGCGAGCGUUGUCCGGAAUUAUUGGGCGUAAAGAGCUCGUAGGCGGUCUGUCGCGUCGAAUGUGAAAACCCGGGGCUCAACUCCGGGCUUGCAUUCGAUACGGGCAGGCUAGAGUUCGGUAGGGGAGUCUGGAAUUCCUGGUGUAGCGGUGAAAUGCGCAGAUAUCAGGAGGAACACCCGUAGCGAAGGCGGCACUCUGGGCCGAUUCUGACACUGAGGAGCGAAAGCGUGGGGAGCGAACAGG